rnacentral:rRNA from 1 species
CAAGUCGAGCGGACAGAUGGGAGCUUGCUCCCUGAUGUUAGCGGCGGACGGGUGAGUAACACGUGGGUAACCUGCCUGUAAGACUGGGAUAACUCCGGGAAACCGGGGCUAAUACCGGAUGCUUGUUUGAACCGCAUGGUUCAAACAUAAAAGGUGGCUUCGGCUACCACUUACAGAUGGACCCGCGGCGCAUUAGCUAGUUGGUGAGGUAAUGGCUCACCAAGGCAACGAUGCGUAGCCGACCUGAGAGGGUGAUCGGCCACACUGGGACUGAGACACGGCCCAGACUCCUACGGGAGGCAGCAGUAGGGAAUCUUCCGCAAUGGACGAAAGUCUGACGGAGCAACGCCGCGUGAGUGAUGAAGGUUUUCGGAUCGUAAAGCUCUGUUGUUAGGGAAGAACAAGUACCGUUCGAAUAGGGCGGUACCUUGACGGUACCUAACCAGAAAGCCACGGCUAACUACGUGCCAGCAGCCGCGGUAAUACGUAGGUGGCAAGCGUUGUCCGGAAUUAUUGGGCGUAAAGGGCUCGCAGGCGGUUCCUUAAGUCUGAUGUGAAAGCCCCCGGCUCAACCGGGGAGGGUCAUUGGAAACUGGGGAACUUGAGUGCAGAAGAGGAGAGUGGAAUUCCACGUGUAGCGGUGAAAUGCGUAGAGAUGUGGAGGAACACCAGUGGCGAAGGCGACUCUCUGGUCUGUAACUGACGCUGAGGAGCGAAAGCGUGGGGAGCGAACAGG